CUCUCACCUCAGCCUCCCAAGAAGGAGUAGUGGAGACUACAAGUGCACACCACCACACCUGCCUAGUUUUUGUAUUUUUAGUAGAGACAGGCUUUCACCGUAUUGCCCAGGCAGGUCUCAAACUCCUGAUCUCAAGCGAUCCACAUGCCUCACUCUCCCAAAGUGCUGGGAUUACAAGUGUGAGCGACUGUGCCCAGCCGCAUUCAUGGGAUUUUAAGUUGGAAUGAAUAUAGCGAGGAGAGUAAAUAAAAAGGAGAAAUCAAAGAUUAACUAGUUUUAGUUUGAACAACCAGCUGGAUGAUGGUGCCAUUUCCUAAAAUGUGGAUAGACAGCAGCACAGAUUUGUGGAUAGAAUAGAAAAUCAGGGGCAUGUCAAGUUUAAUAUCUAAGUGAAAGUACUAAGUUAUCGAUGAGUCUGCAGUUCAGAGAAGAGGACAGGGCUAGAGUCAUCAAUUUGUGAAUCACUAGCUUAAAGGUGGUAAGGGACCUAGGCACUAUGCAACAUGUGUAGGAAGGGAAGGGUAAGGAAGGAAGCCCAAGACCCAUUCUGAAGGCACUCCCAUAUUUAAGGGCCAGAUCUCCAAGGAGAGGCCAACAAAGAAGACUCAAGACAAUCUUCUGUUGGAAGAGAGCCUGUAGAGUGAUAAAACAGAGGCCAAGAGACAGUGUUUGGAAAGGGAAAGUUUUAAAAGAAUAUCCCAGCACAGUGGCUCACACCUGUAAUCCCAGCAACUUGGGAGGUCGAGGACUGAGGAUUGCUUGAGGCCAGGGGUUCAAGACCAGCCUGGGCAACAUAGGAAGACCCUGCCUUCACAAAAAUAAAACAUAAAAAAAUAGCCAGACAUGUGGCAUGCACCUGUAGUCCUAGCUACUUGGGAGGCUGAGGCAAGAGGAUCCCUUGAGCCCAAGAAUUCGAGGCUGCAAUGAGCUAUAAUCAUGCCACUGCACUCCAGUCUGGGCAACAGAGCAAGACCUUGUCUCUAAAUAAAUAAAUAAAACAUCAUAUACAC
rnacentral:lncRNA from 10 species